GGUUCGAUGGCGUAGUUGGUUAUCGCAUCUGUCUAACAUCUGCGUUUCUAUCCUUGUUACACAGAAGGUCCCCAGUUCGAGCCUGGGUCGAAUCA